AUGAAAAUCAAUAAACCAGAAAGGAAACCUGUGAAGACCAUUAAAUUAAAAAUUAGAACAAACGCUUCAAUCCUAUCAAUCUAUUCCCUAACAGAAAAUCAUAUUCAACAACCAAGAUUACUUCAAGCUCUAACUGAUUUUUAUAACAAACUAACAGAAUAUAAAAGAGAAACUCACCAUUCAUUGAUCUCAUUCUUCAACUUUUGGGAAGAAUCACCAAGCAAAAAAACUCUGAAAAUCCUAUCUCUCUGCACCAGCUUCAUCUUGAUUUUCUCUGCUAUUUCUCUCAAAUUCUCUGAAUCUUUUCAACCUUCUGCAACCUGCUUUCAUCAUCAUUUUGAAUUCGCAAUUCCAACCUGA